CGCGUAGGCGGCCAGAUCAGUCAGGCGUGAAAGUUUUCGGCUUAACCGGAAAAUUGCGUUUGAUACUGUUUGGCUAGAAUCAGGAUGAGGUUGGCGGAAUGUGGCAUGUAGCGGUGAAAUGCAUAGAUAUGCCAUAGAACACCGAUUGCGAAGGCAGCUGACUGGACCUGAAUUGACGCUGAGGCACGAAAGCGUGGGGAGCGAACAGGAUUAGAUACCCUGGUAGUC
rnacentral:rRNA from 1 species